rnacentral:rRNA from 1 species
AUACGUAGGGUGCAAGCGUUAAUCGGAAUUACUGGGCGUAAAGCGUGCGCAGGCGGUUUUGUAAGACAGUGGUGAAAUCCCCGGACUCAACCUGGGAACUGCCAUUGUUACUGCAAGGCUGGAGUGCGGCAGAGGGGGAUGGGAUUCCGCGUGUAACCGUGAAAUGCGUAGAUAUGCGGAGGAACACCGAUGGCGAAGGCAAUCCCCUGGGCCUGCACUGACGCUCAUGCACGAAAGCGUGGGGAGCAAACAGGAUUAGAUACCCUGGUAGUCCACGCCCUAAACGAUGUCAACUGGUUGUUGGGGAUUUAUUUUCUCAGUAACGAAGCUAACGCGUGAAGUUGACCGCCUGGGGAGUACGGCCGCAAGGUUAAAACUCAAAGGAAUUGACGGGG